rnacentral:rRNA from 1 species
UACGAAGGGGGCUAGCGUUGCUCGGAAUCACUGGGCGUAAAGGGUGCGUAGGCGGGUCCUUAAGUCAGGGGUGAAAUCCUGGAGCUCAACUCCAGAACUGCCUUUGAUACUGAAGAUCUUGAGUUCGGAAGAGGUGAGUGGAACUGCGAGUGUAGAGGUGAAAUUCGUAGAUAUUCGCAAGAACACCAGUGGCGAAGGCGGCUCACUGGCCCGGUACUGACGCUGAGGUGCGAAAGCGUGGGGAGCAAACAGG